GACGAACGCUGGCGGCGUGCUUAACACAUGCAAGUCGAACGAAGAGCGAUGGAAGCUUGCUUCUAUCAAUCUUAGUGGCGAACGGGUGAGUAACGCGUAAUCAACCUGCCCUUCAGAGGGGGACAACAGUUGGAAACGACUGCUAAUACCGCAUACGAUCUAAUCUCGGCAUUGAGGAUAGAUGAAAGGUGGCCUCUACAUGUAAGCUAUCACUGAAGGAGGGGAUUGCGUCUGAUUAGCUAGUUGGAGGGGUAACGGCCCACCAAGGCGAUGAUCAGUAGCCGGUCUGAGAGGAUGAACGGCCACAUUGGGACUGAGACACGGCCCAGACUCCUACGGGAGGCAGCAGUGGGGAAUCUUCCGCAAUGGACGAAAGUCUGACGGAGCAACGCCGCGUGAGUGAUGACGGCCUUCGGGUUGUAAAGCUCUGUUAAUCGGGACGAAAGGCCUUCUUGCGAACAGUUAGAAGGAUUGACGGUACCGGAAUAGAAAGCC
rnacentral:rRNA from 1 species